UCAUCUCUUGGACCAAAAUGAGUUCGGCAUUGACAUGUAUCGUAGAAAAGUACAUAGAAAAACCCUAGCAUACUUCAUAAGUGCAUGCAUAUGGGAGGUAAAACAGAAGUAAAAACAUGCCAAAAGCACAUAUAUUUUCCUCAAAUGGGGUCACGGGUUUUGAUCUUCUUUUUAUGGUGCCCUAGUCAAUUCCAGCAACAUCACGGAGGGUGAAAGCGUUUUUUCGCGGAUAUCAUAGGUAAACUCUCCCCAAGUACAGCUGAGGUUUUUAAUUUGAAUAGUCUUCAAGACAAGUCAUUGUAACAGGUGGGAAGAACCUUCAGAAAACCG
rnacentral:lncRNA from 1 species